AAUGAAAUUAAAUAGCAUCGGAGGGGAAUCAAGCUACCUCACAUUGGGGAUUUGAUUCCCCUCGUGAAGAGCUACGUCGUGGUAACUUCAAUUUUCAAAAUGGAUGAAGAAAAAUCGGAAGCUUAUCGGAGAAAACGUCGAUGUCAGGUCAGUGCAUGGAGUUUGCUUGAAUUUUGCAGGUUGCUUUAAUGGCUUGUUGGAGCUUGGUUUGAGCUCAUGGAAUCCAUUACUUGGAAUUGUGGACCUGUCUUGGAAUUUUGGUUGCUUGUGGUCAUGAUGUGGAAUUUUUUCAUGUUGGAUAUUGUUGUAAUUGUUUAUGUAUUGGAAUGAAUUUGGAAAUUGAAUGUAUGGUUGUAAUGGACAUGGUUUAUGGUUAUGUAAAAGGUAUUUGGAAAUUGAAUAUAUGUAUGGAAUUAAUAUUUUAUGAAUGAAAUGGUAUUAAUGUGUGUAUGGUUAU